GAUGAACGCUGGCGGCGUGCCUAAUACAUGCAAGUCGAGCGAACGGACGAGAAGCUUGCUUCUCUGAUGUUAGCGGCGGACGGGUGAGUAACACGUGGAUAACCUACCUAUAAGACUGGGAUAACUUCGGGAAACCGGAGCUAAUACCGGAUAAUAUUUUGAACAGCAUGGUUCAAAAGUGAAAGACGGUCUUGCUGUCACUUAUAGAUGGAUCCGCGCUGCAUUAGCUAGUUGGUAAGGUAACGGCUUACCAAGGCAACGAUGUAUAGCCGACCUGAGAGGAUGAUCGGCCACACUGGAACUGAGACACGGUCCAGACUCCUACGGGAGGCAGCAGUGGGGAAUCUUGCGCAAUGGGCGAAAGCCUGACGGAGCAACGCCGCGUGAGGGAUGAAGGUCUUCGGAUCGUAAAAUGCUGUUAUUAGGGAAGAACAUAUUUGUAAGUAACCGGGCACAUCUUGACGGUACCUUAUCAGAAAGCCACGGCUAACUACGUG
rnacentral:rRNA from 1 species